rnacentral:rRNA from 1 species
AUUGAACGCUGGCGGCAGGCCUAACACAUGCAAGUCGAGCGGCAGCGGGAAAGUAGCUUGCUACUUUUGCCGGCGAGCGGCGGACGGGUGAGUAAUGCCUGGGAAAUUGCCCAGUCGAGGGGGAUAACAGUUGGAAACGACUGCUAAUACCGCAUACGCCCUACGGGGGAAAGGCAGGGGACCGUUCGGGCCUUGCGCGAUUGGAUAUGCCCAGGUGGGAUUAGCUUGUUGGUGAGGUAAUGGCUCACCAAGGCGACGAUCCCUAGCUGGUCUGAGAGGAUGAUCAGCCACACUGGAACUGAGACACGGUCCAGACUCCUACGGGAGGCAGCAGUGGGGAA